rnacentral:rRNA from 1 species
UACGUAGGGGGCAAGCGUUGUCCGGAAUCAUUGGGCGGAAAGCGCGUGUAGGCGGCUAGGUAAGUCUGCUCUGAAAGCCCGGGGCUCAACCCCGGGAGGCGGGUGGAUACUGUCUAGCUCGAGUCCGGAAGAGGAGUGUGGAAUUCCUGGUGUAGCGGUGAAAUGCGCAGAUAUCAGGAGGAACACCAAUGGCGAAGGCAGCACUCUGGGACGUGACUGACGCUGAGACGCGAAAGCGUGGGGAGCAAACAGG